UGGGGAAUAUUGCACAAUGGGCGCAAGCCUGAUGCAGCCAUGCCGCGUGUAUGAAGAAGGCCUUCGGGUUGUAAAGUACUUUCAGCGGGGAGGAAGGGAGUAAAGUUAAUACCUUUGCUCAUUGACGUUACCCGCAGAAGAAGCACCGGCUAACUCCGUGCCAGCAGCCGCGGUAAUACGGAGGGUGCAAGCGUUAAUCGGAAUUACUGGGCGUAAAGCGCACGCAGGCGGUCUGUCAAGUCGGAUGUGAAAUCCCCGGGCUCAACCUGGGAACUGCAUUCGAAACUGGCAGGCUAGAGUCUUGUAGAGGGUGGUAGAAUUCCAGGUGUAGCGGUGAAAUGCGUAGAGAUCUGGAGGAAUACCGGUGGCGAAGGCGGCCCCCUGGACAAAGACUGACGCUCAGGUGCGAAAGCGUGGGGAGCAAACAGG
rnacentral:rRNA from 1 species